rnacentral:rRNA from 1 species
CGGCGUGCUUAACACAUGCAAGUCGAACGAUGAAGCGGUACUUGUACCGUGGAUUAGUGGCGAACGGGUGAGUAACACGUGAGUAACCUGCCCUGGACUCUGGGAUAACCCCGAGAAAUCGGAGCUAAUACCGGAUAUGACUUCGCACCGCAUGGUGUGGGGUGGAAAGUUUUUUCGGUCUGGGAUGGACUCGCGGCCUAUCAGCUUGUUGGUGAGGUAAUGGCUCACCAAGGCGUCGACGGGUAGCCGGCCUGAGAGGGUGACCGGCCACACUGGGACUGAGACACGGCCCAGACUCCUACGGGAGGCAGCAGUGGGGAAUAUUGCACAAUGGGCGCAAGCCUGAUGCAGCAACGCCGCGUGAGGGAUGACGGCCUUCGGGUUGUAAACCUCUUUUAGUAAGGAAGAAGGGGCCUUGUGCCUUGACGGUACUUGCAGAAAAAGGACCGGCUAACUACGUGCCAGCCGCCGCCGUAAGAC